UCUACGCUAUUGGGAACCGAUGACAUGUGUCAACCAAGUCAGCGAGGCUGACCACCCGAUCCCGUUAGUCGACUCAUACCACCAGAAUGGGUUGCUGAGGAUUAAUUCUAACCCGGAUCUUCGAGGGUCAUUAACUGGAUGGAGAGACUUGAUGGUCGGUUAGACGAGGUGGACGUGAUGGGCGGAUGAAUCAAGUGUAUCGGGUGGACUUGAGAGUGGAUGGAUAGGGUGCAGUUGAUGGAUGGAUGGAUAAGGUGGACCUAAUGGGUGGAUGGAUCAGGUGGACUUGAUGGAUGGAUAAGGUGGACUUGAUGGAUAGAUGGCUGGAUAAGGUGGACCUAAUGGGUGAAUGGUAGAUGGACGUGGUGGACUUGAUGGAUGGAUAAGUUGGAC